CGGCACCUCAAGUGGUCAGGAUGAUUAUUGGGCCUAAAGCAUCCGUAGCCGGCUCUGUAAGUUUUCGGUUAAAUCUGUACGCUCAACGUACAGGCUGCCGGGAAUACUGCAGCGCUAGGGAGUGGGAGAGGUAGACGGUACUCGGUAGGAAGGGGUAAAAUCCUUUGAUCUAUUGAUGACCACCUGUGGCGAAGGCGGUCUACCAGAACACGUCCGACGGUGAGGGAUGAAAGCUGGGGGAGCAAACCGGAUUAGAUACCCGUGUAGUCC
rnacentral:rRNA from 1 species